AAAUCAGGUUUUUAGGUCCCCUUGCAGCUGGAAUUAAGUUAAGAUAGGAUUAGGAUAGGAUAAGACAAGAUAAGGUUAAGAUAAGGUUGGAUAAGGUUUUGGAUAAGAUAAGGCAGUUUGGAUUUACUUCUUCAACUCUUUAGCACAUUCCUAGACAUCUUUGGUCUUCAAAUUCGUCCAUCCAACUUGCUCCGUGCAUGUGCUAUCCAUUUUUGGCCCAAAACUGCUCCAAAAUGCUCCAUAUUGCACUUUCUUGCCAACUUUGUCAUUUGGACCUACAAACACGAAAAUAGCUUAAAACACUAUAAUAAGUAAGAACUAACAACAUAAAUGCAAGAAAACAAGCUAACUAAGUUGCAUAACUAUGCUCCUAUCACUUUAUGAUGAUAAAAACUUAUGUUGUUAAAAUAUCAAUUAUGUUGUUAACUUAGGCAACGUUAAACCACUAAUCCAUGUUUUGAGCAUUGGAAAUCAUGAACCCUAAAACACUCUUGGGCGUUUUAAUAACCAUAAACAUGACAAGUUCAAGAAUCCCAACCAUUUUGAUCUACUAUUCUGCCACAAAUAUAGGUUUUGGGAUUUGAACUAUUUUUCUUUAAAGCUUGAGAUCAUAAAAAUCAGUCAAAUAAGGUUUUGUGUUCUCCACUUGUAAUAUCAUUUCAUAAAGAUUUGAAUUGUUCUAAUAUCGUGUCAGAUUCGCACCUAAGUGACUUACAAUUAAAUACCACGAUAAUGUAAACAAGUUGAUACUUUGACACAAAGUAAUAUAAACAAAUAUUGGCAACCACAAAAUUAUCUUGUUCGAAAGGAAUACCAAAAGUCAGAAUGGCAAGGAAACUAGGGA
rnacentral:lncRNA from 1 species